AUUGAACGCUGGCGGCAGGCCUAACACAUGCAAGUCGAGCGAGCGGCGGACGGGUGAGUAAUGUCUGGGAAACUGCCUGAUGGAGGGGGAUAACUACUGGAAACGGUAGCUAAUACCGCAUACCAUCAGAUGUGCCCAGAUGGGAUUAGCUAGUAGGUGGGGUAAUGGCUCACCUAGGCGACGAUCCCUAGCUGGUCUGAGAGGAUGACCAGCCACACUGGAAAGGAGACACGGUCCAGAAUACUACGGGAGGCAGCAGUGGGGAAUAUUGUACAAUGGGCGCAAGCCUGAUGAAGCCAUGCAGAGUGGUUGAAGAAGGCAUUCGGGUUGGAAAGCACUGUCAGUGGGGAGGCGUUACCCGUAGAAGAAGCACCGGCUAACUCCGUGCCAGCAGCCGCGGUAAUUC
rnacentral:rRNA from 1 species